AUUCUGGGUUCUAGAAUUUUAGAGACAUCCAGCUGAAGGGUAUUUCUUCCUCUUCUCUGCUUCCCCCGGAUACCACCAGCUCUAGCUCUGGAUACCUGCUUUUCAAGUUCUAAAUGAAGACUGUCAUCAAUAGUUUCAUUUGGCUGUUCGGCCCUUUUCUUCAAGACCAUUUUCUUCAGCAAAUCAGAAGGCUUCAUCUGCACAAGGUAUCGGUGCAGGACUGAGAUCUAGCAGGAGAAGAGAGGUUAGUCAAUUUUGAGCAGUGCAGUGCUCUUCCCUGAGCUAAUUCCAGUGUGCCCACCCUCAUGCCCAUUCCUCUUCCUGCCUUGACAGUUCUAUGCUACCCAUUUUUCUGUUUCCUUGAAAGUUCUCAAAUGUUUAAGAACCAACAAAAGGCAGCCCUAUAAGUGCUAUCACUGUUUACAAAGUCACCAGAACUCAGAGUGGUGCUCCUGUAUAUGCAUAUUCAUAUAUAUCUCUACUGUCAAGAAUUGGAGGCAAACCAUAUUAAGUUCUAUGAUCUAUAAAGACCGCUUGUAUUAAAACAGGUAUAAGAUGUGGUUAAUAGCUCUGAAACUUCUAAUCCUAUCAUCACACUGCUAGUCUUGGGAAACUGAAUAAAUUCUCAAUGUUGUAACU